CCUCAAGCCAUUGAGAUUAGCGUCGGGCAGUCCGAGAUUUUAGCCUUGGUUUAGAUGUUGUACCAAAGCUAGCCCCAGAUCCUGUUGCAGCACCUGAUGCAAAUGGUGUUGAAAAUAUGGAACCUCCAGCAGUAGUAGAUCCAAAAGAUGCAGCAGUGCUAAACAAAGAAGGAGUUGAAGCAGAACCAAGUAAUGGUGUUGAUGAGCCAAAAAAUGAAGCUUGUGGGGAAGCACCAGAUGACCCAAACAAAGAGGAUACUGGAGCAGAGGCUGUUGGUGUUGCAAAUAGAGAAGAUGAUGACAAAGAGGAAGAAGCUGUAGUAGAAGGUGUACUGAAAAGAGAGAAUCCACUCCCCGAGGAAGCUGAUGCAGUUGCUGCAGAUGUCUGCGGAACAAUUGAUGCUCCAGGAGUUGCUGAGCCUGUAAACAACCCAGCAACCUGUGUUAAAGGCUGUGAAC
rnacentral:misc_RNA from 1 species